ACAUGCAUUAGAUAUGUCUAGGGUGACAUUGCAUGAAGUUGACGCAUUAGAAUGCAUUAGGUUAUGUGUACAUUUAUGUGAUAAGUGAUAUGUGACACAUACUUGGCUAAUUGUGAUAAUUGAUUGUGUGAGUAUUCGAUUAUAUGUGUUGAUGUACUUAUAAUUGAAUGGUAGAUUGUUGAUGAAUAUGGAUGAAUGUAUGAUAUAUGCAUGAUUAUAGAAGAAGUGUUUAAGUACUCUUUU
rnacentral:lncRNA from 1 species